rnacentral:rRNA from 1 species
GACGAACGCUGGCGGCGUGCCUAAUACAUGCAAGUCGAGCGGAACUUAGAAAGCUUGCUUUCUAAGUUUAGCGGCGGACGGGUGAGUAACACGUGGGCAACCUGCCUAUAAGACUGGGAUAACUUCGGGAAACCGGAGCUAAUACUGGAUAAUAUAAAAGAUCACAUGGUCUUUUAUUGAAAGAUGGCUUCGGCUAUCACUUAUAGAUGGGCCCGCGGCGCAUUAGCUAGUUGGUGAGGUAAUGGCUCACCAAGGCGACGAUGCGUAGCCGACCUGAGAGGGUGAUCGGCCACACUGGGACUGAGACACGGCCCAGACUCCUACGGGAGGCAGCAGUAGGGAAUCUUCCGCAAUGGACGAAAGUCUGACGGAGCAACGCCGCGUGAGCGAUGAAGGCCUUCGGGUCGUAAAGCUCUGUUGUUAGGGAAGAACAAGUAUCGUUCGAAUAGGGCGGUACCUUGACGGUACCUAACCAGAAAGCCACGGCUAACUACGUG